UCGCUAAAACCUCAAAAUAAAGGAUCAAAAUAAAGUUACAUUUACUCAUUAAUAAAUAUCUCUAAAACUUUUCACAUACCCUCUUGAUAAAUAUAACUUUUACUAUUAAAUUAAAUACACACAAAAAUUAAAUUUUUAUGAUCUUUCGCAUACACUCUUAAUAAAUAUAUUUAUUUUUAUUAAUUAUAUAAGUUAAUAUUUAAAUUUGAUUUUGAAUCUGUAUUUUAAUUCAAAUUCAAAAUUGAGUUUAAGUUUGAAAUUAAUUUUUUUAAAAUUUUAAUUAAUUAUAAAUAUGUUUUGUUAUAAAAAUAUUAAAAAAUCAUCUACGAUUAGUUCAUUAAACAGGUUACAAUCUCAAAUUUUUAUUUAAAAUUUAAAUUUGUAUUUAACUUUAUUAAAUAUAAU
rnacentral:lncRNA from 1 species